rnacentral:rRNA from 1 species
UACAGAGGGUGCGAGCGUUAAUCGGAAUUACUGGGCGUAAAGCGCGCGUAGGCGGCUUUGCAAGUCGGGUGUGAAAUCCCCAGGCUUAACCUGGGAACUGCAUUCGAGACUGCAUUGCUAGAGUAUGGGAGAGGGAAGUGGAAUUUCCGGUGUAGCGGUGAAAUGCGUAGAUAUCGGAAGGAACAUCAGUGGCGAAAGCGACUUCCUGGACCAAUACUGACGCUCAUGUGCGAAGGUCAGGGGAGCAAACGGG